rfam:Schistosoma haematobium scaffold557_3, whole genome shotgun sequence.
GUCAAGCUGAUGAGUCCCAAAUAGGACGAAACGCACAUCCUGGAU